rnacentral:lncRNA from 1 species
UUAAAUACAUUAUCUCUAAUUUUCACAACCAUUCCCUAAAAUACUCUAUUUGAUAGAUGGGGAACCUGAAGUUUAGCCAGAUUGAGGAACUCACCCAAGGUCACACAUGUGGCAAUGCCAGGGCUUGAGCCCAGAAUAGCGUGACUCCAAACUUUGAACUCUUUGUCUUCUAAUACUACACUGCCUCCAAAUACAUCAAUUGACUGGAAAAAGAAGAUUUAAGUUCAUGAUUGUCAUUGUAGAUUGUUUCUACCCGUUUAUCUUAUUUAAGAUUCCACAUGGAUCAAAUUUCAUAGUAAUGAAAUUCAAGAGACGCUCUGCCAUUUUGUUAUAGGGCAGCAGUCUUGGAAUCUGUGUCAUAAUUUAUUAUGUUGGAUGUUUUUUGAAAUAAGUAGAACUUAAUUGAAAAUGGAAGAAUUUUAUCACAUAUAAUUUUUAAAUAAUUCAUUUAAUGAAUUUCUUAGAGCCUAAAAUCACUUUACUGCAUAUAAACCUCAUUUAAACACAGACCUAUAGUUAAAGCAGAGAAUAGAGUAGAAUUUAAAAGUUAUUUACAUUUAAGAAUACUUUUCUGUUGCUAUUUUUCUAACACACUGGUUCAGGACUGCCUAACUUCUCCACCCAUAGUUUUGUGAAUUCCACGAAUUUUAAUACUGUAUUUCUCAGAACAUAACUCUCUCUCUGUGUAUUUAUCUCUCGCUGCUCUGUCUCUCUGUUUCUCUGUUUCUGUCUCUCACACACACUCUCGCGCACACACACACACACAUCCUCUACAGAGAAAUCAACUCUCUAUGGAAGAUUUUGGGGGCAGAAUAGAAUGCACUUUGCCCAGGCCAACAAAACAGACAGGGGCCAAAGACUGGGCUCUAGAAUUGGUGUCACUAACUCCUUUAUGUAGAUCAAUGCUGGAAAAAUAUCCUUCAGGUAAAGAUUUUGCCUUUGUGGCUAUAGGUUGUGACCCUCACUAAACUAGUCUUCACGUACUCAGUGAGCACUAGGUGACACAACUAGAAUAUUCAACUAGAAGAAUAAAAUAUGACAUAGAAGGAACCUUGAUGAUAUCCUUGUUCAAAGUCUUUGAUAAAUAGAUGAAGACACUAAGGUCUUGUAAAGGGUUAGGAGGUAAAAUGAGACCAGAACCCAGGUCUUCUUACCACGAAGAAGACUCCUCUUCCUCAACACACCAUGCUUUCUUUCUCCUGAAUACAACAAAAACUGGAACUACAUAUUCCUGUAAAACCUGGAUUAGGAAGAACAGGGUUGUAUGAGAAUCCUUGUCCCCUGACACCAGUACCCUGUGAUUUCCCAGGAUGGGGCUCAUUUCUCUUUCCCAUCUUCCCAACCCAGUGAUUGUAAACUUUUUCCCUCUGAAAUGCUGUAAAACCUGUCAACACUCACCUGUAGGGACUUGAGAAUUCAGAACAAAUGCUUGUUGAACAGGAAAGGAAGAUGGAGGGAACAUUGCCUCUUUGCGUGUAGAAAUUUUAUGGCAUUUCUCCCAAGUGUGUCAUAGGUGUGUGGUUUAUUUUUUUAUGAAACUUUUAUGAGAGCACUUCAUUUCAGUUCUCCUGCUCCUUUUAUGGUGGGCCUGCUCCUAUUAUUUUUCUGUAGCUGAGAUUUUAUUUUUAAAUAUUAAAUUGUGAUUGGGGGGGGGAAGUUUCUUUAUUCCCAGAGCCACACUCCUGUAUACAAAACUUCUUCUGACUUAUGUGAAGGCAACUCCCACAUCAGAGCUUCAGCCCUGGGCCCAUAAUUUGCAAGCAUAUAAUGGAGCCUCAUAUUGCAAUGCAAAUUCUAGUACCCAGGGAUCUGCAGCAUAAUCACCCAGUUACAAGGAAGGUAAAGAGGAAAGGAAAUUAGCAUAAUGGGCCACAGAAUAUACACAGGAGGAUGCUCAGAGGCCUCUAUGGCAGAUUUCACCACCAUUCCAAAGAUAUGCUUGCUUUUCUCAGAAAAUGCGCUCUCUCUAGUAGAGAUGUUGUUGGCUCCAUCUUGGAGGAACUUGAUCUUCAGCUGCUUUCAUGGUAGUAAUGGGCUGGGCUGAAUUAUUCAUAUUCUCUCAUUCUGAGCUACAAAAUGACCAGCCAGAGGUUGGGAUCACUCUAGAAGCUGAACUUCAAUGGAUGAGUAGGUUGAUCUAUGUCAACAUGGAAAGUGAGAAAGAACAGCAUCCCAAGAGGAGGAAGAACUGUGAGCAAGGGUACAGAGAGGGAAUGACCUGCCCAUGGAGAAACACAGUCCCAUUGGGCUGAGGUGUGGGAUGAGGCAUUUAUGGCACACACCCAUUUGAACUGAGGUCCCCAUUACCCAGUGGGACUUAGCACCUGGGCCCCUGGACCCUGAUGAACAAGUUUAU